rnacentral:rRNA from 1 species
CAGCCGCCGCGGGAAUACGGAGGGAGCUAGCGUUGUUCGGAAUUACUGGGCGUAAAGCGCACGUAGGCGGCUUUGUAAGUCAGAGGUGAAAGCCUGGAGCUCAACUCCAGAACUGCCUUUGAGACUGCAUCGCUCGAAUCCGGGAGAGGUGAGUGGAAUUCCGAGUGUAGAGGUGAAAUUCGUAGAUAUUCGGAAGAACACCAGUGGCGAAGGCGGCUCACUGGACCGGUAUUGACGCUGAGGUGCGAAAGCGUGGGGAGCAAACAGGAUUAGAGACCCCAGUAGUCCCUGUCUCUUAUAC